CCCUGAGAGGACUUUCUCCAGCAAGGUCGCAUCUCCUGAAGGUUCUAGAGCCUCCCCAAACAGCCCUGCCCACUGGAGACCAAGUAUCAAAUACAUGAGCCUAGGGGGGCAUUUCUUAUCUACACCACAAGGUGUGUGUUCAUAUAUAUCGCGUAUCAGUCAGAAAAAGAAAUAGAAGGUUACUAACACCUCCGCCGACCUCCGUGUGGCCCUGCACACCUGUAUCUCCUGAUUCUCUCAGCUGCCUCACGACUAACCUGCAGCCAGGGCUCAUAGGAUACCCUUGUGGAACUGGUUCUCUCCUCCUUCCUUCAUGUGGGUCUGGGGGUCAUCAAGCUUGUGUGGCCAACACUUGGCCCGCUGAGCCUUCUCAUUUCGCCAUCAUUUCAUUAAAUUUCCCGAAAGUUGACUAAUCAGCUCUCCUGCAUGGGAGUAGGCCAGCUCCCCAACGUUGUUGCCCUGAACCCCUAGGAGCCAGAACCACAGACCGAGACAAAUGGCACUGGGGGAACGCCUAGACUGUCCGUGAACUCUCCUGGAAUAUUUGUAACAAAUCAUUUCCUCAGGAAAGGAAUCCCGAGGCUGACUGCCGCUCUACUUUCACUCGGAAGAGAGAAAGGGAGGAGCCGAGGAAGACGGUGCUCUCUGACUCAGCCUGUCUUUUCAGCUGAGAAAAGCAGCAUUUCCCCCCACUCCGCCGCACCGUUCCCCUGUGCUGUGACCCCCACCCCUCGAUUCCAGGCUUCGGAGGGUGGCUGUUUCCACAGCUUUGCAGAACAAACAAGCAACAGAACAACGAAGUCAACUCUUGUCUGUCUCCCCGCUGGCCUGCAACUGAGGCCAUGCCCACGCUGCCGCCUCGCCUCGGUCUGAAACAUGGACUCCCUGUUGUCUGGCUAACCAAAUACCACCCUUCGUCAAGGUCAGGCUCCCAUUUUAGUUCCACCGGAGCCUUUCCUGAUUGCCUUUCUUUGAACUCCUGAAAGACAAUUGCUCAGUUAUGUUCUUCCACGCAUUAUUCGCAGUUGCUUUCUGCAUAUUAAUGUUGGGAAGUAAAAGAAAGAGAAGGAAGAGAUUAACAAGGAGAAAAGGGACUGAAGAGGAUGCUCGGUGGUCAAGGGCCCACGCUGCGCUUUCAGAGCACUAACAUGAGAUUCCCAGCAUCCACCGCGGGAGGCUUAUGACUCCCUGCACCUCUAGCUCCAGCGGAACCAAGGCUCUUCUCUGGCUUCUGUGAAUAUCUGCACACACAUAUGCAUACACACACACACACACACACAAAUAAAGAAUACACUUUUAAUAGAA